UGCAGCUGCAUCAAAUUUGGAGCCUAUCGCACCAUGGCUGGUGCUGGCCCAAAAGGCUGCCAAAAGAACAGUAUGGCUCAUGGGCCCUGGGCCUCAGGGAUAAAUCUGGUCACAGGCAACA
ensembl:snoRNA